rnacentral:rRNA from 1 species
AUGGAAGCAGAGCAGGCGGCGGAAGUAAGAUCUGGGGAGACUACCAGUCUUAAGUCGCCUGAUACGAUUUCGGUACAUGAUGACAAAGAAAAUUUAGUAAAUGGGAAUUCGAAUCUGCAUGUGAAGGAAACACCCAAUGAUGAAGAUGAUGGAACAGGGUCCGAUGGUUUUGAGCUGGUAGAUGAUGUCUCACCUUUGACAAAGGCAAGUCCCAAAGAGGAUGAAAAAACUUCAGAAUCUGCCACCUUGAACCAAGAAACAGAAAGACUGAAAGUACUAUCAAAGCGCAUUGAAGAGCUUGAAUCUGAAAAGGAAAAAUUGAUGAAGGACAUGACAGAAGCAGAAAAUAAGCAGACACUGCAACACAAUUCUCUACAAGAAGCACAGAGAUCUCUCACUGAGAAGGAUAAAGAGCUGGCUGAUGCAACGCAAUCACUGAGCGAGCUGGGGUCUGAGCUUGAAAUCUCGAAACAGAGGAUUCAAGAAAUUGAGGCAGAGUUAAGUUCAUCAGCUGAUAAGCUCCACAAACUUGAAGAGCUGAAGGAUGAAAGAAGCUUGCAUGCUGCACAGGAAGCGAAAAGGGCUGCAGAACUUGAUAAGAUGCUGGAAAUGGCUCAGUUGAACAUGAAAGAGAUGGAAAACCAGAUUAGCAAUCUUCAGGAAGAGAUAAAGGGACAUCAGGAUAAGGCUGUUGACCAUCAGCAAGUAGAAGAAUCACUGAAUACCACAAUGUCACAAUUCAAGAUGGUGCAAGAAGCACUUGAACUGUCAAAAUCACAAGUGGAUGAUUUGGAGCAGAAGCUUGCCUCGCAGGAUGCUGACAUCAGUAAGCUCACUGAAGAGUUGAGUCUCCAUUGUUCAUCUGAAGAAUCUUUGAAGGAAAAGAGCCUUAAACUAGAGACUGAACUUGCCACCGUGAAUGAAGAGUUACAAGCGAAGCUUCUGAGUUUGCAAGAAAUGGAGAUGAAACUGGAAGAGCAUGCGAAGGAAAAAGAGACAAGUGAAGCUACAUUGGAGAAGCAACAGGCUCAGAUACUCAACCUGCAGUCUGUGCUCGAUGAAUUAAAGGAUGAACAUGAAACUCUCAAAGGGACUCUAGUUGACUCUGAAUCAAAACUAUCAGAGAGAGACUCCAUGCUACGUCAGGCUGAAGAGGAGCAUGCUAAAGCACAGUUGCUCCUAUCAGAAGCAUUGUCGCAUAAAGAAGUACUGGAGGUAAAUCUGAAAUCUAUCAAUGAGCAGCAUGGUGAGUCCAAAGCUGUUGCUGAAGAUGCAAACGGGAAGAUUCUUGAGCUUGAAGCACAGAUUCAGGCACUACAUGCAGCUGAAGAGGCUUUGAAGUCGCAUCUGGAAGAGGCUAGCAUGAAUGUGGAAGUUGCAGAGAAGAAAUGCUCUGCUCUUGAGCAACGGCUCAGUGAAUCUGAGAGUAAAUUAGCCACUUCAAGUGAACAAGUAAAGUUGCUGGAAGAGCAGGUCCAACAAGAAGCAGCUUCUUCAGCAGAAAAAGAAAAGGAGCUUGAAGAAGCAGUGAACAAUGCAGAGGCAUACAAGGAGAAGAUGAAUGAAUUGCAAUCUUCUCUUGAUUCCUCGGCAUCUAAAACUCAGCUACUUGAAGAAGAAGUCAAGGAUCUGACUGACAGAUUCUCACAGCAUCAAGAACAAGCUCAUUCCGUUCACGAAAGAAGUAUUGAACUGGAGAAUUUGCUUCAUACAUCAAAGUCUGAUGCUGAUGGUGCACACUCCCGAAGACAGGAGCUGGAGCAGGAACUUGAAGCCACACAAGCAAAGUUCAAGGAGGUUGAAGCAGAACUAGAACAGUACAGAAGCAAGGUUUCCCACCUUUCCGAUGAUCUAGAAGCUUACCAGACAAAAUCAGCUAGUCUUGAAGCUGUGAUGGAAGCUGCAAGUGGAAAGGAGAAAGAGCUUAUGGACUCCCUGAUUCAAAUCACCGAAGAAAAGAAGAAACUUGAGGAGCUAACAGCAGAGUAUGAAGUAAAACUUCAAGAACAAUUGCAGGAAAAGCAAGUUAUCGAAGAGAGGGUGCAGAGUCAAGAAUUGAAGGUGCUUGAUUUAGAAGAAUUGUUGGCAAAACUGACAGAAGAAAAAGAAAGUGGCGAGAACACCAUUGCUGAUCUUAACCUGCAACUGUCCAAUAAGAAUGACUUGUGCAUGCAGUUGGAGUCCCAGUUAAGCCAAGUUGGGGAUGAUCAUAGCAAAACAAGGUCACUUCUCUCUGAUGCACACUCGCACAAAGAGGAGCUAGAACUGAAUUUGAAAUCUCUUAAUGAUCUUCACACUGAAUCCAAAACAGCUGCAGAGUCUGCAAUGCAGAGGACCGCAGAGCUUGAAACUCAAGUUCAGGAAUUAAGUGCUGCUGAAGAAAGUCUGAAGUUACAGCUUACUGAGUUUGAGUCAAAGCUAGCAUCUGCCGAGAAGAAGAGCACAGAUCUUGAGCAAGAGCUUAAAGAUGUGACAGAUGAAUGCAAUGGUUUCCGUUUGAAGGUUGAUGAACUUUCUGGAGAAGUUGAGGCAUACAAGGAGAAAUCAGCAAGUCUCGAGGCUUUAUUGGCAGAAGCAAACCAAAAAGAGGAUGAGUUGUCAGGGAAGUUGGCUCAAGCUAAUGAAGAGAAGGAGAAGUAUGAAGAAUUGUCAAACAAGGCCACCACAGCGCAUUUGGAAGCCGAGAAGCAGGUCCAGACUUUACAGGCUGAUCUAGAAUCUGCCCGUGGUAAAAUGGAAGAGGUGGAGAAUGAUCUUCAGGCCCUCGGUGUUAGAGAAAGCUCAGUACUUGACAAGCUUAAAUCUGCAGAGGAGCAGCUUGAGCACAGUGGGAAGGCACUAGAACACGCCACUUCCAAGAAAAUUGAUCUGGAAUCUCUGUACCAGUCUUUACUUGAAGAUACAGAGAAGAAGCUCCAGCAAGUGGGGGACAACUUGUCUCAGAAGGAGACGGAUUGUCAGCAACUGUCUGAAAAGUUGAAGUUGGCCGAGGAACAAGUGGCAUCUUAUGAAGCAAAAGCAGCUGGUGCCACUGAAGAGGUGGAAUCCAUGAAGGUGGAGCUCGAAGCCUUUGAAAAUGAGAUCGCUACUCAUGAGACCACCAUUGAGGAACUCAAGACCAAGCUCUCCAGUGCUGAGUCAAAGGCUGAAGAGGCAUUGGCCGAGAGCACGACCAUGGGUGCAGCAAAUCAGGCUCUGAAAGAGGAACUUGAUGCUAAGCUAGCCGUGCUUCAUGAACUGCAAGAGCAGUUUAACUCUACUCAUGCUGAAAAGGAAGAUGUUGUUACAAAGCUAGCUGAGCAUGGAAGAAUGAUAGAACAUUUGACUGAGGUGCACAGUAGAGGCAUAGAACUUCAAUCUGCAGCUGAAUCAAGGAAUGCAGAAGUUGAAGCUCAAAUGCGUGAAGCUCAUGAGACAAUAGCACAGAAAGAUUCAGAAAUUAAAGAUUUGAACGAGAGGCUGAUUGCAAUUCAGUCUGAGACUGAAAGUUUGAUGCAUGUGAAUGAAGCCUUGAAGCAGGAAAUCAGUGCUAAGCUGGUCAUAGUUGAUGAGCUGCAGGAGAAAUUUUUGUCUGCGAGUUCUGAGAAAGAAGAAGCUGCAGAGAAGCUGGCUAUUCAUGAGGAAACAAUAAAACAUUUGACAGAAGAGCAGUCAAAGGGCUUGGAGCUCCAGUCUGCUGCUGAAUCGAGGUAUGCGGAAAUUGAGAGUCAACUGCAUGAAGCUCAUGAGACGAUUGCAAAUAAAGAAGCUGAAGUUACAGACCUCAAGGAAAAGCUGGUUUCUCUUGAAGCUGAGAAUGGAAAACUGGCGGAUAAGAAUGAGCACCUAGAAGGAGAAGUGUUUGCUAAGGUGGCCAUGUAUGAUGAGUUACAGGAACGGUUUAGUGCUACGCAUGCUGAAAAGGAAGAAGCUGUAGAGAAGCUAGCUGCUCAUGAGGGAACAAUCACAAACCUGACAGAGGUGCACACAAGAAACUUGGAACUCCACUCUGCAGCUGAAUCAAAGAUUGGUGAAACUGAAGCUAAACUGCAUGAAGCCCUCGAGACAAUAACACAGAAAGAAGCUGAAGUUAAAGACUUGAGCAAGAAGCUGGAUGCUCUCGAUAUUGAGUUGGGAUAUUAUGAAGAGCAGGCAACGGAAGCUGCUGCCAAUGAAGAAAAUCAUAAGGUUAAGUUUGAUGAAGUCGUGCACAAACUAAAGAGCCUAGAAGCACAACUUGCAGAAACACAAAACAAGGUUGAACUUUUCCAGACAGAGAAAGAAAACUUGAUUACUGCAAAUAGUAGUUUGAGUGAGGAAUUGGAAGUACAUCAGAGCAAGCUGAAUGAAUUACAGCUGGCACUUGCUGCCGCACUAGCAGAAAAGCAGGGGUCGUCAGAAGAGAUUCACUCAUUGCGAAAAACACUCGAUGGCAUGAUUCAACGCAAGGAAGAACUGGAAAGCCAGGUAUCUUCUACUCUGGAAGAGCACGAAGAACUGACGAGCAAGUACCGAAGCACACUGGAAGAGAAGCAGGUGUUAAAUGACAAAUAUGAAACUACAAAGAAGGAACUUGAUGAAGCAAUAGCCAAAUUGGAGGAGCAAAUGAAUUUGGAGAAGUCUGAAAAAGAAUUGCACAUUUCAAAACUCGAGAGGCAAAUUACAGUGUCUGAGCUAAAAUACAUGGAGGAGAUCCAGACCAUGCAAGUUGAAACAACUGAAAAGAAUGAAGCACUUACAAGCAAGAUGCAGGAGCAUGCAAACUUAGUCCAUGAAAAAGAUCAGUUGGAGCAACAAUUGCUGGAAGUUAGGAAGGAACUGGAGGCUGCUUACCGUACCAUCGCUAACCAGGAAGAGCAAGCUUCAGUGAGGGAGAUAAAGUGGGAUGCGUUUAAGACGUAUUCAGCGGAUCAACUAGAAGCUGCACAAAAACACGCUGCAGAGCUGGAAGUACAAGUAUCAGCUCUAAAUCAGCAGCUGCAAGAAGCUGAGAUCCAUUACAAGAAAAAGGUUGCAAAGGAGAGUGAGAAACUCGCUCUUGUCAAUACACAGCUCAACAAGCUAACCCAAAAUGUGAGCAAGAGCGCUGAAAUGGAGAAGAAGGUACAGGACCUUGAGCAGAAGUUGCAGCUUGCUCAUUCCAAAUCUGAAGAACAGGCAAAGGAUGCAGUGGUGUCAACGAGAUCCCGAGAAUUCAGCCUGGACUCGUUAGCACCGCAAAACAAACAGCGCGACAUAUCUCAGGCUCCUAGCAUGGCCUCCCCGAACCCGGCGCAGCAACAACUGCGGGAGCCCUCCGGCAUCAUGGCCUUCAAGUUCAUCCUGGGCGUCGCCUUGCUGUCAGUGGUCAUCGGCGUGUUCCUCGGAAGGAGAUACUAG